rnacentral:rRNA from 1 species
AACGUACGCUGGCGGCACGCCUAACACAUGCAAGUCGAACGAAGUAGCAAUACUUAGUGGCAGACGGGUGAGUAACAUGUAGGUAUCUGCCCUUUGGCCUGGAAUAACACGAGGAAACUUGUGCUAAUACCGGAUAAGUCUUUACGGAGAAAGCUUUAUGCACCAUUGGAUGAGCCUGCACUUGAUUAGUUUGUUGGUGGGGUAAUGGCCUACCAAGACUGUGAUCAAUAGCUGAUUUGAGAGGAUGAUCAGCCACAUUGGGACUGAGACACGGCCCAAACUCCUACGGGAGGCAGCAGUGGGGAAUCUUGCACAAUGGAGGAAACUCUGAUGCAGCGAUGCCGCGUGAGUGAAGAAGGCCCUUGGGUUGUAAAGCUCUUUCGUCGGGGAAGAAAAUGACUGUACCCGAAUAAGAAGGUCCGGCUAACUUCGUGCCAGCAGCCGCGGUAAUACGAAGGGACCUAGCGUAGUUCGGAAUUACUGGGCUUAAAGAGUUCGUAGGUGGUUGAAAAAGUUAGUGGUGAAAUCCCAGAGCUUAACUCUGGAACUGCCAUUAAAACUUUUCAGCUAGAGUAUGAUAGAGGAAAGCAGAAUUUCUAGUGUAGAGGUGAAAUUCGUAGAUAUUAGAAAGAAUACCAAUUGCGAAGGCAGCUUUCUGGAUCAUUACUGACACUGAGGAACGAAAGCAUGGGUAGCGAAGAGGAUUAGAUACCCUCGUAGUCCAUGCCGUAAACGAUGUGUGUUAGACGUUGGAAAUUUAUUUUCAGUGUCGCAGGGAAACCGAUAAACACACCGCCUGGGGAGUACGACCGCAAGGUUAAAACUCAAAUGAAUUGACGGGGACCCGCACAAGUAGUGGAGCAUGUGGUUUAAUUCGAAGAUACGCGCAGAACCUUACCAACACUUGACAUGUUCGUCGCGACUCUAAGAGAUUAGAGUUUUCGGUUCGGCCGGACGAAACACAGGUGCUGCAUGGCUGUCGUCAGCUCGUGUUGUGAGAUGUUGGGUUAAGUCCCGCAACGAGCGCAACCCUCACUUUUAGUUGCCAUCAUUAAGUUGGGCACUCUGAAAGAACUGCCAGUGAUAAGCUGGAGGAAGGUGGGGAUGACGUCAAGUCCUCAUGGCCCUUACGUGUUGGGCUACACACGUGCUACAAUGGUAUCUACAACAGGAAGCAAGACUGCGAAGUUAAGCAAAUCCCUAAAAGAUACCUCAGUUCGGAUUGCACUCUGCAACUCGAGUGCAUGAAGCUGGAAUUACUAGUAAUCGUGGAUCAGCGUGCCACGGUGAAUGCGUUCCCGGGUCU